GUUGUUAAUUGUCAGUAUUUUUCUUGGUAGAUGACUCUGAACUUCAACAGAGCUAAACACUGAAAAUAACAGACAGCUCUCCUAGUCAGAUAAAUCAGAAUCACUGCAAGAAGAUCUGCAUAGAAGGAAAAGAUGAAAACAGAACAACACACAUCUCUGCCCUACCUGGAGUAUUCCUACACCUUCUACCAAAACUAACCUGCUAAGAGUCAGCAAAGGAAAUAAGAACAUAGAGAGUGUGGAGUUCAAAGAAAAAAUGAACCUGUCAGACUUGUUUGAAGAAUCACAAUCACAAACAAAGAAGAAUUCUUUGUUCUCACAAAAAUUAGGAUAUAUUUCAUAGAAAAGAAAAAAUGCAGUUUCUGUGAAUGAACAUGUUCACAAGAACUUAUCUGUACGCAGAAAUUAAAUGAAUGAGCUACCGUCACCUGGACAAAAUUGUUACAAUUCUAAUUAAAAUACAUUGUAUUUUAAUGGAUUUUCAUACUCUGUAAGGAUUAAGUAAUCAGACUCUAUCACAUCUUGAUGCCAGCUUACUAUUUAGUAACAAAUACUAUUAUGAACCCCAUGUCUGAGUGCUAAUUUAGUGAAUCAAUAUGAAUACAGUAUAAUUAGUCAUUUCCUGCUACAAAUAGAAAAUCUAUAACAAAUGUAUUAUACUCUGUAUUCUUAUUCUGAGAAGUGAUGCAUAAAAUGGAAUACAUUACAGCUUAGUUUGCAUCUUAAUGGCCUAAAAACAUGGAACAUUUUUCCCCUCUAGUGUCUGUUAGUGGAAAUGACAACAAGUUGAAUGCAUUUUUUAAUUAAAAAGCUGUAUUUUUUAACAUGAACAUGUUAAAGUCUAUCCUAAUGCAUUAUUUUGAAAAUAUUUUCUAAUGAAGAAUUAAUAUCAGACCCAAUUCAUACUGAAAUUUUUACUACAGUUUUAUUGUUGAUGUCAAUGAGUUUUUAAUUCCUUUUUAAAGUAAGAGAGUGGGGAAAAGAUGCAUCUUCAGAAAUUUCAGAUUAGUUAAACUCACAUCGUAGUACUGAGUUAAAAGCAACUAUAGCAGAUGUAGAUUGGAACUUGCAUUGAUAAUGUGGAUCUUUAACUUUUGGAAAAGGUCUAAAACUUCAGAUGUAUCAAUAUAACCUUCACUACAAAGUAAGAGAUUCUGGGAAUAGCAUCUGUUAACUUGCAGACUGAGCCUGGUCUGCCCCAUCCAAGCUUGCUUCUAAGCUUUAUAUAUUCAAUAGGGUGAAGCCAUAAAUUGAUCUUGGCACUUUCUAGAGCAGCCAAAUUCAAGAAAUGCAGAAGAGCAAUUCAAGGUGGCUGCUAUCUGUACCCAUCACAGGCAACUCCUCUGGAGCCAACAGAGAGCAGCAGGCACGUGCUCUGGGGACUGAGAGCAAAUGUUUUGCAUGUGGCCUUUUCCUCUGUGGGGGUGCUUUGGGGAACAGACAGGACCAUUAAUUGCUAAUUCCAGUGUCAUUGCAGUGACCAGAUUUUCUCACAGGCCUGAGAGUGGUAAAUAUUAUGCAAUCAGACUAAACAAUGGAAUGUUUCUAAUUUUCUGCACUGAAUGCAUGUUCCUACAGCAUCUACAAUCUAUUUUACAAUGACAUUAAAAUAAAAGCCUUUGUGGGUACAUGUGACUUAUCUAGAUUUUGCUAGUUUUUCUCAGCUCUUAUUAGAGGAGUCUACAUUUGGAAGUCUAUCUAUUUUCUC